GAAGGAACACACAUUUUUAGAGAAAUAAUACAUUGAGAAGAAAAUAAAGCUGACUCUAAUGUCCCAGGGGGCUUUGUCUGUUCCUUCUAGUCCCACAUGGAUCUGCACCUUAGCUGAGGGAGUGUGGGUCAGGAGAUCAAUCAAUCUUUAUGUCAGGGUUUUGGGGUUGUGUCGGUCAUUGUGCUGCAGGGGGUGGUGUGGGGCACAAUUGGUUACAGCUGGCACUGCUGGCAGGCGCACCUGUAGGCAAUUUACAUUGGGCUGCCUAUUUAAGCAGGUUGCGCCUGCCUGUCAGUGCCAGGGUGUCUGUUUGUGUUGUGAGGGUGUUUGUUCGGGUUCCCCCGUCGUGUGUUGGAUCUGCGGUCCUGGAGGACUGCUUCUGUUCCUGAGUUCUCUGCAGUCCUGGAGGACUGCUGUUCCUGAGUUCUCUGCAGUCCUGGAGGACUGCUUCUGUUCCUGAGUUCUCUGCGGUCCUGG
rnacentral:lncRNA from 1 species